UAGGGAAUAUUGCGCAAUGGGCGAAAGCCUGACGCAGCAACGCCGCGUGCACGAUGAAGGUCUUCGGAUCGUAAAGUGCUUUUAUGAGGGAAGAGAACGGACUGUACCUCAUGAAUAAGGAUCGGCUAACUACGUGCCAGCAGCCGCGGUAACACGUAGGAUCCAAGCGUUAUCCGGAUUUACUGGGCGUAAAGCGCGUGCAGGUGGUUUGGUAAGUUGGAUGUUAAAUCUCCCGGCUCAACUGGGAGCUGUCGUUCAAAACUGCCAAACUAGAGGACGGUAGAGGGAGGUGGAAUUCAGGGUGUAGUGGUGAAAUGCGUAGAUAUCCUGAGGAACACCAGUGGCGAAGGCGGCCUCCUGGCCCGCUCCUGACACUAAGACGCGAAAGUUAGGGUAGCGAACGGGAUUAGACACCCCGGUAGUCCUAGCCGUAAACGAUGUGAACUUGGUGUUGGUGGGGUAAAACCCAUCAGUGCCGAAGCUAACGCGAUAAGUUCACCGCCUGGGGACUACGGUCGCAAGAUUA
rnacentral:rRNA from 1 species